GUGGGGAAUCUUAGACAAUGGGCGCAAGCCUGAUCUAGCCAUGCCGCGUGAGCGAUGAAGGCCUUAGGGUUGUAAAGCUCUUUCAGCUGGGAAGAUAAUGACUGUACCACCAGAAGAAGCCCCGGCUAACUCCGUGCCAGCAGCCGCGGUAAUACGGAGGGGGCUAGCGUUGUUCGGAAUUACUGGGGGUAAAGCGCACGUAGGCGGAUUGGAAAGUUGGGGGUGAAAUCCCGGGGCUCAACCCCGGAACUGCCUUCAAAACUCCCAGUCUUGAGUUCGAGAGAGGUGAGUGGAAUUCCGAGUGUAGAGGUGAAAUUCGUAGAUAUUCGGAGGAACACCAGUGGCGAAGGCGGCUCACUGGCUCGAUACUGACGCUGAGGUGCGAAAGCGUGGGGAGCAAACAGGAUUAGAUACCCCGGUAGUCC
rnacentral:rRNA from 1 species